UGUUGAAGGUUUCAUCCAUUUAUAUUAUUAAAAACUGGCAUGGUUGACGGAAUAACCGGAUGGUUACACGUAAGGGGCCAUGUGUACCUUAUACUGACCUACAGGGACUAGUUUUUAAUAGGAGAAAUGGAUGAAAUUUUUAAUA
rfam:Gossypium raimondii Chr02_contig_1478, whole genome shotgun sequence.